GACGAACGCUGGCGGCGUGCCUAAUACAUGCAAGUCGAACGCUUCUUUCCUCCCGAGUGCUUGCACUCAAUUGGAAAGAGGAGUGGCGGACGGGUGAGUAACACGUGGGUAACCUACCCAUCAGAGGGGGAUAACACUUGGAAACAGGUGCUAAUACCGCAUAACAGUUUAUGCCGCAUGGCAUAAGGGUGAAAGGCGCUUUCGGGUGUCGCUGAUGGAUGGACCCGCGGUGCAUUAGCUAGUUGGUGAGGUAACGGCUCACCAAGGCCACGAUGCAUAGCCGACCUGAGAGGGUGAUCGGCCACACUGGGACUGAGACACGGCCCAGACUCCUACGGGAGGCAGCAGUAGGGAAUCUUCGGCAAUGGACGAAAGUCUGACCGAGCAACGCCGCGUGAGUGAAGAAGGUUUUCGGAUCGUAAAACUCUGUUGUUAGAGAAGAACAAGGACGUUAGUAACUGAACGUCACCUGACGGUAUCUAACCAGAAAGCCACGGCUAACUACGUG
rnacentral:rRNA from 1 species